CUUUCAAGCGCUUCAAAGUCCAAGGUUCACAUGAAUUAAUCUGGUCAAGCAUUCAUCAAAGAUAAAAUGCAAUUUUGGUUGCUAAAUUGGUGAUACAGUUGUUUACAGAAGACAGGCUUGAAUUAACAUAAUUGUGCUCUUCAUCAUGGAGUCCUUGUGGAAGCUGUUGUAUUUACUGGAGCCUGCACCCAUUACGCUAAUAAUGACAGCUGUGGCUGUGACAUUUGGGUCUGCAUUUAGAGCUCUAAAUCAUGGGAAAGAAAUGGAGCGGAAUCGUGACUUAUC
rnacentral:misc_RNA from 1 species